CAUUGACGAUGGAGCUCGCGCAAGCAUGGGCGAUCGGCCGCAGGGGUUCGGCCAUCCAAAACAGUUGGGCUUCCCGGUUGCGGCAAACGAUGAAUGGCUUUAUUCGCCCCGAAAAUCUGCCGCCAGGCGGCUGGAGCACAGCGCAAGUCUUGACCAAUGAUACCCAAUUCCAGAUCGUGUCCAAGCGGCGACUGAUAACGGUUGCGCAAGCUCGGCAAAACCUCACCACCCGCUUUCCGGCCGACCAA
rnacentral:misc_RNA from 1 species